UUGCUCUAACAUUUCAGGCCUAUCCAACUUUCGAGGAUGCUCCUGCAAGGAAAAUGAUGAUGCAUGAAAGUUGGGUCAGAGACUGUGUACGAACGUCUGUAUGAAGAAUGAUACUGUGCGUUUCUCAGCAAUGAUGCCAAUGAUCCAUUCGGCAUCCAGACUCCAUCUCCCUCCUCCAUUCAAAUCCAUCUCUCUCCUCCAUAUCCCUCUUCCUCCAUCUCCGAAGUUGACGCGAUAUUACACCUAAAACCUAAUCUUCGCAUCUCAGUCAAGACCUAAGAUUUGUGUAUGAACUAGAAACCCGAGAGUCAUCUCCUCCCUCCCUCCUCUGUGUAGCAGACUAGAGAUGGGUUUUAGUUCUUCUACGAAAACGUUCGACGACCACAAACUCUCCUUUUCAUUGAUCCCCGAAGGCCCAUUUUGCAAUACAUGAAUAGUAUGGAGAGGUGAAAAUAAGCAUACAAACAAUGAUUAAGUGGGGAAAUUUACGUCUUCUCAUUGGUGGGCAUUCAAAGAAAGUAUUUGACAAAAUAACAGGAAGCUUGAAAUUAUGGAGGGCAUUGUUCAAAUUCCGAUGAAAUAUGGUGGUGGUGUUUGCUAAUUAUCUUUGAUAAAAUCUUUCUCCUUUACCUAUUAGAUGUAUGCAGUCAAGCAAAUGGUGUUUUGCUUUCCUUCAACGCUCAUGAAAUUGGCAAUGACCAUGGGAUGUUUUGUCUCCGGUGCUACUCUUUUUCUCCUAGGUCUGCAUCUCUCUUAUGUCAAUGUCGCUCCUCAACAAGCUCGAAUUCAGGCUCGCAAUGAUUUCGUGAAAGAGAGAUUAAGAAAUAAGUACGGUAAAUGAAGAGUCUGCUCUUAAUGGCUUUGGGCUUAUGUACACUCGACAAGUUAUUAUUCUCCAUCCCUGUCCUUUGUGUACGGGCAAGUCAAGACUCAUUUUGAAAUUUCAUUGGCGCAAUGCCGUUAGAGUAUUUAGUCGAUAAAUGUGUGUGUGUGUGUGUGUGUGUGUGAGAGAGAGAGAGAGAGAGAGAGAGAGAGAGAGAGAGUACUUUGUUGUGUUUUAUUGAUGAAUAUCCAACUAUACAUAUACAUAGAGUAGUGACUAUUAUACCCUCAUACUAUACAAUUAGUUACAAC